UACGUAGGCAGCAAGCGUUGUUCGGAAUUACUGGGCGUAAAGCGUGCGUAGACGGUUUCGUAAGUCGGGUGUGAAAUCCCCGGGCUCAACCUGGGAACUGCGCUUGUGACUGCAAGGCUAGAGUCUGUCAGAGGGGGGUGGAAUUCCACGUGUAGCAGUGAAGUGCGUAGAGAUGUGGAGGAACACCGAUGGCGAAGGCAGCCCCCUGGGAUAAGACUGACGCUCAUGUACGAAAGCGUGGGGAGCAAACAGG
rnacentral:rRNA from 1 species